UGGGGAAUUUUGGACAAUGGGCGAAAGCCUGAUCCAGCGACGCCGCGUGAAUGAUGAAGGCCUUCGGGUUGUAAAGUUCUUUUGGCAGGGAAGAUAGUGACGGUACCUGCAGAAUAAGCCCCGGCAAACUCUGUGCCAGCAGCCGCGGUAAGACAGAGGGGGCUAGCGUUGUUCGGAAUCACUGGGCGUAAAGGGCGCGUAGGCGGCCAUGUAAGUGAGAGGUGAAAGCCUGGAGCUCAACUCCAGAAUUGCCUUUCAUACUGCUUGGCUAGAGUCUGUGAGAGGGUAGUGGAAUUCCUAGUGUAGCGGUGAAAUGCGUAGAUAUUAGGAGGAACACCAAUGGCGAAGGCAGCUACCUGGCACAGUACUAACGCUGAGGCGCGAAAGCGUGGGGAUCAAA
rnacentral:rRNA from 1 species